GAUAAACAUAUAAGUAGGAUUCACAUUGAGCGAAAUGACAGUAAAAGCGAGCUCUUGAGUGAGAUAAAAGUAAAUCAGAACGUUGGCAAGGAGAUUAUUACUGCGAAAGAUGAAAUCGAUGAAGCUCGUGGUAGUUAUCAUCUCAGUGGCUUGUCUAGUUAUAGCGUUGUCUCCCCGCGCAAAUGCCCAGUGUUCGGCAAAGUGCUCAGAUGCUAAAAAGCAAUGCGUUUACACCUGUACCGAUCAGAAAUGCGUUGAUUUCUGUCACUAUCAACACGCGAAAUGUCAAAAGAGUUGCCUCUCAGCAUCAGGAAGAUUUCUUCGUCGGGAUGGGGGCCUACUGGAAGCGGUAAAACGGUAUAAGAGCAAUUCUGAUUAAAUCCACAACCCAUGGACAAACGAUGCAAGAUGCUUGUAAAACUGAUAGAUGCGGAUUCUUAAAAACUGGGUUGAACUAAAACUAUGAGUAAAAGAAAUUAAUUUCAACACUAAAAAAAGUAAAAUGAUGUACUUUUGCGUGACUCGCACAGUAAAUAUAAUAAGUUUUAAAUGUAACUUAUAAAACAGUUGAUUAAAACAUUACAAACUAUUAUGAA